CUAGGGUUAGGGUUGGGCUUGGAGCUAGGAUUUUUCUGAGUGCACUGAACCAACUCCCGAGUCUCUAGGACGUUCCUAAAAAAAUUUGUUUUUUUCCCAUAGGAAUGCAUGGGUUAGGGUUAGGGUUAGGGUUGGAGCUAGGGUUAGGGUUAGGGUUAGGGUUGGAGUUAGGGUUAGUGUUGGAGCUAGGGUUAGGGUUGGGCUUGGAGCUAGGAUUUUUCUGAGUGCACUGAACCAACUCCCGAGUCUCUAGGACAUUCCUAAA